CAGCCGCCACGGUAAUACGUAGGUGGCAAGCGUUAUCCAGAAUUAUUGGGCGUAAAGCGCGCGUAGGCGGUUUUUUAAGUCUGAUGUGAAAGCCCACGGCUCAACCGUGGAGGGUCAUUGGAAACUGGAAAACUUGAGUGCAGAAGAGGAAAGUGGAAUUCCAUGUGUAGCGGUGAAAUGCGCAGAGAUAUGGAGGAACACCAGUGGCGAAGGCGACUUUCUGGUCUGUAACUGACGCUGAUGUGCGAAAGCGUGGGGGUCAAACAGGAUUAGAUACCCCGGUAGUCCCUGUCUCUUAUAC
rnacentral:rRNA from 1 species